UUCUCAAAGGUUCCUCAGUGCUCCAUUUUUCAAUAGCCUUCCUCAGCGUUUUUGUCCUCGCGCUCCAUGCGUCUCUUCUCCUCUGCUUUCACGUUGUUUGGACUGUUCUUCACUAUCGUGUUCUGCCAUUUUUUAACCCUUGGUGGCUUUUCUUUUGUUAAUCUUUGUGUUCGCAGGUGUGGAGUCAUUUUGCAAGGGUAAAAUUCAUCGGCCGGUCAAGGUUAUUUAGCUUGGUGGGUUGGGUUGUACGGAUUUUCAGAUUGGUGAAUGUAAUUUCUCUGCCUGUACUUAAUGCAGUUCCAACUUUUCUACAAGCUUGAUACUGUGAAAUGAACCUUUCUGGUCAAUAAAAAGUUUUCUCCCCUGUAGCCUGUACUCAUGCAGUUCCAACUUUUCUGCAAGCUCGAUACUGUGAAAUGAACCUUUUUGGUCAAUAAAAAGAAACUUGGUUCUAAGGCAAGUUGGAAAUGCACAAAAGUUUGAUUGCAUCCUAUAGAAUUACCAGAGGUGGUCAUCUCCAUUUCAUGCAAAAUCAGACUUCUUUCUACACACAAAAACAGUAGGGAAGAGCAUGGUGACAUGUGCUUUGGGUGGGAGUUGUACAUUCUUGAAGCAGAACAUCGUGCGGAGAACAUUCAGAUGAUUGGAACCAUGGGUUAAGAAAAAGGGUCCAAAUUCAGAGUUGCGUUCUUCUUCCCUCAAAAUAAGAAGAAAACACUUCCUCAGCAUCAUAUUUUGGCACCUCAGGAUCAACCUGGGGAAGAACAGAACAAAGCAGAGCACAAGCAUUAUCAAUUUAUUUGCUGAAGUAUUGCAGGCUUGCAGCUAUCUACACGACUUCAACGAGCCACACCAAGCUUACAACAGGUUUGCACACCUGUAAAGCUCCCUCUUCCUCUUUCCCUCCCUCCAUUUUUUUUUUCUUACAAGUUUCGUGUUAACAUCAAUUUGUACAUUGAUGAAAUAGGAACAGCUAGAUUUUGAACAACUAUUUAUAUAUAUGUAGAGUUGUCAAUAACUAUUAUAUACAUUUUAUAAAUACUUUGUACAUAUUUUGUAUAAAUACUUUUUACAUAUUUACACAACGGUUACAACACA